GACGAACCGAGCGAACGUUGUUCGGAAUCACUGGGCUUAAAGGGCGCGUAGGCGGGUGCUCAAGUCUGUGGUGAAAUCCUCCAGCUUAACUGGAGAACUGCCAUGGAUACUGGGUGUCUCGAGGAAGAUAGGGGUAUGCGGAACGAUUGGUGGAGCGGUGAAAUGCGUAGAUAUCGAGAGGAACACCAGUGGCGAAGGCGAGUCCCUGGACACUUCCUGACACUGAGGCACGAAAGCUAGGGGAGCAAACAGG
rnacentral:rRNA from 1 species